rnacentral:rRNA from 1 species
GGCUCCUAUCCUGCAAGUCGAACGCUUCUUUCCUCCCGAGUGCUUGCACUCUUUGGAAGGAGGAGUGGCGGACGGGGGAGUAACACGUGGGUAACCUACCCAUCAGAGGGGGAUAACACUUGGAAACAGGUGCUAAUACCGCAUAACAGUUUAUGCCGCAUGGCAUAAGAGUGAAAGGCGCUUUCGGGUGUCGCUGAUGGAUGGACCCGCGGUGCAUUAGCUAGUUGGUGAGGUAACGGCUCACCAAGGCCACGAUGCAUAGCCGACCUGAUAGGGUGAUCGGCCACACUGGGACUGAGACACGGCCCAGACUCCUACGGGAGGCAGCAGUAGGGAAUCUUCGGCAAUGGACGAAAGUCUGACCGAGCAACGCCGCGUGAGUGAAGAAGGUUUUCGGAUCGUAAAACUCUGUUGUUAGAGAAGAACAAGGACGUUAGUAACUGAACGUCCCCUGACGGUAUCUAACCAGAAAGCCACGGCUAACUACGUGCCAGCAGCCGCGGUAAUACGUAGGUGGCAAGCGUUGUCCGGAUUUAUUGGGCGUAAAGCGAGCGCAGGCGGUUUCUUAAGUCUGAUGUGAAAGCCCCCGGCUCAACCGGGGAGGGUCAUUGGAAACUGGGAGACUUGAGUGCAGAAGAGGAGAGUGGAAUUCCAUGUGUAGCGGUGAAAUGCGUAGAUAUAUGGAGGAACACCAGUGGCGAAGGCUGCUCUCUGGUCUGUAACUGACGCUGAGGCUCGAAAGCGUGGGGAGCAGACAGGAUUAGAUACCCUGGUAGUCCACGCCGUAAACGAUGACUGCUAAGUGUUGGAGGGUUUCCGCCCUUCAGUGCUGCAGCAAACGCAUUAAGCACUCCGCCUGGUGAGUACGACCGCAAUGGUUGAGACUCACAGGCAAUUGACGGGAGCCCGCACAAGCGGUCGAGCAUGUGGUAUAAUUCUUAGCUA